rnacentral:rRNA from 1 species
GACAGGGGAUGCAAGCGUUAAUCGGAAUUACUGGGCGUAAAGCGUGCGCAGGCGGUGAUGUAAGACAGUUGUGAAAUCCCCGGGCUUAACCUGGGAACUGCAUUGGUGACUGGCAGGCUUUGAGUGUGGCAGAGGGAGGUAGAAUUCCACGUGUAGCAGUGAAAUGCGUAGAGAUGUGGAGGAAUACCGAUGGCGAAGGCAGCCUCCUGGGCCAACACUGACGCUCAUGCACGAAAGCGU